GGCGGACGGGUGAGGAAUACAUAGGAAUCUGCCUUUAGGUGGGGGAUAGCUUGGGGAAACUCAAGGUAAUACCGCAUGAUCUCGCAAGAGCAAAGUGGGGGACCGCAAGGCCUCACGCCUUUAGAGGAGCCUAUGUCUGAUUAGCUAGUUGGUGAGGUAAUGGCUCACCAAGGCGACGAUCAGUAACUGGUCUGAGAGGACGAUCAGUCACACCGGAACUGAGACACGGUCCGGACUCCUACGGGAGGCAGCAGUGGGGAAUAUUGGACAAUGGGCGAAAGCCUGAUCCAGCAAUUCCGCGUGUGUGAAGAAGGCCUUCGGGUUGUAAAGCACUUUAGGUUGGGAAGAAAAAACUUCUCCUAAUACGAGAAGCGUUGACGGUACCAACAGAAUAAGCACCGGCUAACUCUGUGCCAGCAGCCGCGGUAAUACAGAGGGUGCAAGCGUUAAUCGGAUUUACUGGGCGUAAAGCGUGCGUAGGUGGUUUCGUAAGUCGGAUGUGAAAGCCCCGGGCUCAACCUGGGAACUGCAUUCGAUACUGCGAGACUCGAGUUUGGUAGAGGGUGGCGGAAUUCCCGGUGUAGCGGUGAAAUGCGUAGAUAUCGGGAGGAACAUCAAUGGCGAAGGCAGCCACCUGGGCCUGAACUGACACUGAGGCACGAAAGCGUGGGUAGCAAACAGGAUUAGAUACCCUGGUAGUCCACGCCGUAAACGAUGAGAACUUGACGUUGGUUCGUUUUACGAAUCGGUGUCGUAGCUAACGCGAUAAGUUCUCCGCCUGGGGAGUACGGCCGCAAGGUUGAAACUCAAGGAAUUGACGGGGGCCCGCACAGCGGUUGGAGAUUAUGGUGGUUUAAUUCGAUGCAACGCGAGAACCUUACCUGGUCUUGACAUCCAGAGAAUCCUGCAGAGAUGCGGGAGUGCCUUCGGACUCUGAGACAGUGCUGCAUGGCUGUCGUCAGCUCGUGUCGUGAGAACGUUUGGGUUAAGUCCCGCGACGAGCCGCAACCCUUGCCCUUAGUUGCCACCA
rnacentral:rRNA from 1 species